rnacentral:rRNA from 1 species
AUUGAACGCUGGCGGCAGGCCUAACACAUGCAAGUCGAGCGGAGCGGCGGACGGGUGAGUAAUGCCUAGGACUCUGCAUGGUAGUGGGGGAUAACGUCCGGGAACGGGAGCUAAUACUGAUUACUAUCAGAUGAGCCUAGGUCGGAGUAGCUAGUUGGUGGGGUAAAGGCCUACCAAGGCGACGAUCGGUAACUGUUCUGAGAGGAUGAUCAGUCACACUGGAACGGAGACACGGUCCAGACUCCUACGGGAGGCAGCAGUGGGGAAGAUUGGACAAUGGGCGAAAGCCUGAUCCAGCCAUGCCGCGGGUGUGAAGAAGGUCUUCGGAUUGUAAAGCACUUUAAGUUGGGAGGCGUUACCAACAGAAGAAGCACCGGCUAACUUCGUGCCAGCAGCCGCGGUAAUAC